CAAGAGUGUCACCUGGAGUCCCCUCCCUGAGCGGUGUUCGCAAGGAAGUGCCAUGCAGCCUGUCCAGAAAGCCAAAGGGGGUUCCUGUGAGAGGUCCAGAGGCGCCCCCAGGAGCUGAGAGCCUGCAGUGAAGAAAUGACCACAGGCCUGAAACACUAGCCAGGCAAUCCCAGUGGCCACUCCCUGGCCUCCUUCUCUCCUCUGAAGUUGAGAGGACCAGCGCUUUUCAUGUACACUAAGGAUUAAAUGAGCUCAUGAAUGCGCUUGAGAACACAACCUCCAGCAGGGUCCCCGGGAUGCAUCUCAUCAGCGGCUUUGCUAUUUUAAUUUUGAUGGGGAAACUCCAAUCAAAAGAGAGAUGGCUUACAGACCGCUCCUCAUCUAGCCGGAAUCCAAGUCACAGAAGGGUCUGACCUGGUCCACGCCUGCGGUCCCCUCCCCCCGCCACGGAGGACAAAGGAGUCUGCAGCUCUGUGAUCCAAAUCGCACGCAGGCUCUAGAUUGUCCACCGCAGCCCUGGCUGCACCCAGGAACUUGCUAGAAUGCAGAACCUCAAAUCUCCUGCCAAAACCAGGAAAGGAAAAUCUGCACCGUAACAAGAUCCCUUAGACAAUUCAAAAGUGCACUCGGGUUAGAGGCCUGCUCGCCUCCAGUUGGCUCUGGGGACAGGCAUCUGAGCCGCCCCACCUCAUCCCGGAAAAUCUGAGCCCAAGACUCGUACAGAGAAGCUGAGCUUUCCGCAGCAGAAGGACCCUUUGAUUCGUGCCUCCGAGCCCUCCACAGCGCAUUAAAGCACACUUGGACACAUGUUAAGAAAAUUACUCCCCUCUUGAUUCCUUCUCAUCUUUCCUUUUACUGAAGAAGAGAGACUGGGAUUGGCGCUUCCUCCCGGGCUUCUCCUCCAAGAGCCUCCCUUGAAACAAAGAAACAGAAGGCCCACACCUAUAUCCCCUCCCACGGCAACAAUGUGGCGCUAGAUUAAUGACACUGCUUCCUCCCGGUGUAAGAUAACUGAAGAGUCACCACCAGAGAACAGAUUUGCCAGGCCUUUCCUCUGCAGAUAAGUUCCACCUCAAACCAUGAAUCAAACUGAAGAAAAACAGGCUUAUUCAUGCAACCAGAAGUGACUAUAACCGACUAUAAACAUGUCUGAGGCACAACGAGCUCGGUUCCGCCAGAGAUCCUGGCCCGACCCUUCAUGCCCACCCGUCCCUUUGCAUCUUCAACCCAGAUACUUCCAGAUUCCUCUGAAGACCUUCCUUGAGGGCUAUUCAAGGGUGAGGACCCCAGUGAGCUGGAUUGGGGGGAGGCAGGGUUCCAUCUCAUCACUCAUCUUUAAAGCACUCUAUAAACAUUGACUAAUUAACCCACACGACACCCAUGAGAGACAUCAGGGCUUCGCUUCGCAGAGGCAUUCACAAGGAAGGUACCAGAAUCAUACCCCAAGAAGCAAAUUAUGUCUCAACGAACAGCCAGUAUGGGUCCUCCGACCACAAGCCUGAGCCAGAAUAAUUGAUGCUGCCCCCUGUCCCCCACCUUUCUGCCCUGCUGACAGUUUCUCUAAGUUCACGCCCCUGUCACUUCUUCCUUUUUCUGAAGAACUACCGCUUUCACACUCACAACCACAAAUGACAUUUCUCUGAACAGAAGACUUCAUUCCACCAGGCUCCCACAGAUGGCAGCUGCUGUGACAAUAAGAAGGACCAAAUGACUGGGGCUUAGACAAGAAAAAUCCUAGGGUAGGUCAUGAACUCACUCGGUCGGCCUGGGACAGUGUCUUGGUGGUUUCAACCUGGUAUAGCUCAGAGGAAUCAGACGGGAAGCAGGUAAACCCACAGCCAUGUGGGGCGGGGUUAUAUCCCAAGGCCCCGAAUGCUUCACUGGCCCACUGCUAGGACACUGAGUCUACAAGGGGUAUGGACCUAUUGCAAGAGACAGAAAUGUUCCUUGGAAAUACAGUUUGGGGUGAAAGAUGUGGCACCACGGCAGGUUCUGGUUACAGCUAAUGCUCAUGGCAACCUUCUACAAAGUCCAAGUUACAUUACAGCAGACUUUUAAAACUUGUUUUAUUUUGGGGCCACACCCAGCAGUGUUGGAGGUAAGGAGAACCAUUUGGUGCCAGGGAUUGAAUCCAGGGCUCCCACAUGCAACCAACAAUCUGCUCCAAUAAAGCAGGUACAUUUGGGGCCAGAGUUGCAUUGCUUGAAACAAAACAAAACAAACAAACAAACAAACAAAACAAAACAAACAAAACACUUUAAAGUAGUUCUCAGCUCUCUUUUAAAGGAAUUCUGAUCAGGAUCUGGGGUAUGGCUCAGUGGCAGAACCCUCGCCUAGCCUGUGUGCAGCCCUCCCUGGGUUUGAUACCCAGCACCAACUCCUCUCCAGAGCACUGUUGGGAGUGACCUUGCUCCCCUCCCUUACCCCCCAAGUCAGGAGCAGUCUGCAAGCUGACACAAAAACAAAUAAAAAUCUUGCAAGCUUGAAGACUUCUCAUUUGACGAGGUGCCAAGUGACUGGCCAGCCUGUCGUUAGGGGCCACCCUUCGGAUCUAUUUGGAGAACAGUCUUCGCUCAUAGGAACACAGAAAGUUUCAGAGCACCACCCACCCGCCAUUUGGGGGUUUUCCACAAAAUCAAGUCGAAUUCAACCAAAUCCCUUGGCAGAGAAGAAACCCAAGAGAAAGUGAUGUGCUUGGUGGGAAGGGAGGGGGAGGAAAGCGGGGACGAGAAAAUGAAGAUCCUUCCGGGAAGGACGCUCGCCAGCUUCCGGGAUCGAGUGCAGCAGGACAAGAGGGCGAAGCCAAGUGGUGUGCAUUCCUAUCAAAAAGCAGGGGGCACUGGGGUGAGGGGCACCCUCAUCUGCCACUCCAAGGCGCCAGGGGCAAAGGACCCCUCUCCUAUCAGAUCCCAUCUCAACAGCGGCUCGG